UUCAGCUUCUAAGAAGGCGUAGGUGUUGACAGCCUGGGAGAAAUUACUGGCGUCAGUGAUGCUUUGUUACAGGCUGGCUGAACAAACACAGACCCUGACCGUUGAGACUGCGUCAAGGCUUCUCUGCCGCUUAUUGUAAGAGAAGCCUAAGUGGGAGAUGGGUGCCAAAACACCACGGAGGAUUUCAACUGCAGAGGAGAGCUCAGUGCCUGCAGAGGCUGUUCAGGAUGGAAAAGGCUCCUCGAGUGUUUGCUGCUGUGUGUGGUUGUGCUGUGUGUGCCCCUGUCCUGGCUCCCAGGUGUUGAGGAUCUGGGGGCAUUCAGCAUCAGCUGUGCAUCCAGAAGAUUGCUGGCUUGUUCCCAGAGAUCUGAAAUCCCAUUCUUCUCUCUCUUUUAAUGAAGCUUGGAGUCACCAGUGUUGCACCCAUUCAGGGAUGCAAAUUCCCUUUGUCUUUAUAAGGUGA
rnacentral:lncRNA from 1 species